GAUGAAGAACGCAGCGAAAUGCGAUAAGUAAUGUGAAUUGCAGAAUUCAGUGAAUCAUCGAAUCUUUGAACGCACCUUGCGCCCCUUGGUUAUUCCAAAGGGCAUGCCUGUUUGAGUAUCAUGAACACCUCAACUCUUGUGGUUUCCCACAAUGAGCUUGGACUGUGGAGGUUUUGUUGGCCCUGUGGUCAGCUCCUCUCAAAUGGAUCAGCUUACCGGUGUUUGGUGGCAUUACGGGUGUGAUAACUAUCUACGCUCGUGGUAGUCUCCAAAUAACCUCCAGUGAUGGAGGUUCGCUGGAGCUUAUAAAUGUCUCUCCCCAGUGAAGACAGCCUUUGAACGUUCGAUCUCAAAUCAGGUAGGACUACCCGCUGAACUUAAGCAUAUCAAUAAGCGGAGGA
rnacentral:misc_RNA from 1 species